UGGGGAAUAUUGCACAAUGGAGGGAACUCUGAUGCAGCGACGCCGUGUGAGUGAUGAAGGAAUUCGUUUCGUAAAACUCUGUUCUAUGGGAAGAAAAGGACUGUACCAUAGGAGAAAGCUCCGGCUAAAUACGUGCCAGCAGCCGCGGUAAUACGUAUGGAGCGAGCGUUGUCCGGAAUUAUUGGGCGUAAAGGGUGCGCAGGCGGCUUUACAAGUUGGAUGUGAAAUAUUGUGGCUCAACCACAAACGUGCAUCCAAAACUGCAAAGCUUGAGUUAAGGAGAGGUAAGUGGAAUUCCUGGUGUAGCGGUGGAAUGCGUAGAUAUCAGGAGGAAUACCGGUGGCGAAGGCGACUUACCGGACUUAAACUGACGCUCAGGCACGAAAGCGUGGGGAGCAAACAGG
rnacentral:rRNA from 1 species